CAGGGUUUUAAUGGGGCCCAUGGACUGAGCACUCCCUAUCACAGUGACUUUGGAAGAUGACUACUGAUAAGGAUUUGGAUUACAUCGUCCAGUAAGGUGCUGAACAACAUCUUCUGAUAAAGACUUUGAAUUUUAUCUUCAGAAAAAGAAAUUUAAUAACAUCUUCAGAAGGUGGAACCAUUCUACAGGCAAUGAUGAACUAAUUUCACUAAAUAAUGUGUACUAUUUCCUCAUUCCUCCUGGUUACUAAGACACCCCACCAGUGAGUUUCCUCAGAAAAAUAAAGAAUCUGUAGUCCUCACAUCUAGCCAGGCCACAAAACUGCUACUCUGCCUCAGGCCCACCACACUCUAUUUGGCAGCAGA